ACGAACGCUGGCGGCGUGCCUAACACAUGCAAGUCGAACGGAGUUAAGGAGCUUGCUCCUAACUUAGUGGCGGACGGGUGAGUAACGCGUGAGUAACCUGCCUCUGAGAGGGGAAUAACGUUCUGAAAAGAACGCUAAUACCGCAUGACACAUAUUUGCCGCAUGACAGAUAUGUCAAAGAUUUUUAUCGCUCAGAGAUGGACUCGCGUCCGAUUAGUUAGUUGGUGAGGCAACGGCUCACCAAGACCGCGAUCGGUAGCCGGACUGAGAGGUUGAACGGCCACAUUGGGACUGAGACACGGCCCAGACUCCUACGGGAGGCAGCAGUGGGGGAUAUUGCGCAAUGGGGGCAAAACCCCCUGACGCAGCAACGCCGCGUGAAGGAUGAAGGUUUUCGGAUUGUAAACUUCUUUUCUCAGGGACGAAAUUUGACGGUACCUGAGGAAUAAGCUCCGGCUAACUACGUGCCAGCCGCAGC
rnacentral:rRNA from 1 species